GUGCCAGCCGCCGCGGUAAUACGUAGGGUGCGAGCGUUAAUCGGAAUUACUGGGCGUAAAGCGUGCGCAGGCGGUUUUGUAAGUCAGAUGUGAAAUCCCCGGGCUCAACUUGGGAACUGCGUUUGAAACUACAAGACUAGAAUACGUCAGAGGGGGGUAGAAUUCCGCGUGUAGCAGUGAAAUGCGUAGAUAUGUGGAGGAAUACCAAUGGCGAAGGCAGCCCCCUGGGACGAUACUGACGCUCAUGCACGAAAGCGUGGGGAGCAAACAGGAUUAGAUACCCUGGUAGUCCACGCCCUAA
rnacentral:rRNA from 1 species